rnacentral:rRNA from 1 species
AACGCGAAGAACCUUACCUGGGCUUGAACUACUGGUGGUAAGUCCCUGGAAACAGGGGCUGACCCGCAAGGGAGCCAGCAGAGGUGCUGCAUGGUUGUCGUCAGCUCGUGUCGUGAGAUGUUGGGUUAAGUCCCGCAACGAGCGCAACCCCUAUCUCAUGUUGCUAAUCCCGCAAGGGAUGCACUUUUGAGAAACUGCCUUCGAUAAGAAGGAGGAAGGUGGGGACGACGUCAAAUCCUCAUGGCCCUUAUGUCCAGGGCUACACACGUGCUACAAUGGCCGGUACAACGGGAAGCAAUACCGCAAGGUGGAGCCAAACCCUGAAAGCCGGCCUCAGUUCAGAUCGUGGGCUGCAACUCGCCCACGUGAAGGCGGAAUCGCUAGUAAUCGCGAAUCAGCAGGUCGCGGUGAAUACGUUCCCGGGCCUUGUACACACCGUAGUAC